rnacentral:rRNA from 1 species
CGUAGGGUGCGAGCGUUAUCCGGAAUUUUAAAAAAAAAAAAAAAAAAAAAAAAAAAAAAAGGGCGUAAAGAGCUCGUAGGCGGUUUGUCGCGUCUGUCGUGAAAGUCCGGGGCUUAACCCCGGAUCUGCGGUGGGUACGGGCAGACUAGAGUGCAGUAGGGGAGACUGGAAUUCCUGGUGUAGCGGUGGAAUGCGCAGAUAUCAGGAGGAACACCGAUGGCGAAGGCAGGUCUCUGGGCUGUAACUGACGCUGAGGAGCGAAAGCAUGGGAGCGAACAGGAUU